ACUUUGUCGCACAAGAAUCUAAUAAGUAUAAAUCACAUAAUAUCAAUCACAUAUUAUCUGAAUUCAUCCCCUGUUUAGUUUUGAAAUCCCAUUAUCACUGACCAAUUGACGGUGUUUACGUAUCAUCUUCUGAGUAGUAAGGACCGACGCAUCAUUGCAACUUCUUAUAGACUAAAAUUCCACAAUCAUGAUGGAAUAAACGACAUUUCAAUCAUAAGCAUGUAAAAGUUGCAUGACUCCAUCGAAUUCAAGCAAAGCAAAAGAGUAACUGUAAGAACACCUUUGUUCAACUUCCACGUGCACUUCCCCCUUGAAGAUAGUAUCAAAGAUAUGAAAUAUGCAUCAUUGCUCAAGUGAAAUUUGUAAAUAUACUUCAUCACAAAGUAGCAAAGCCAAGUCUGAACUAGUAACGCAUAGGAGCACAUGAACGGAACUAAGAAAAAAAUGGAGGACCAAAUGACAAGAAUUAAGUCUUAAGCAGUUGCCAAAUAAAGACCCCUACUAAUUUCUAUUAAACAAUGUGGUACUACUUAAGAGGAUUUCAUCAAGUGUUCUCGGCGCCCACUAGCUCCCCAUUGCCUUCAGCAUAUCCGAGAAAAAUUGGUUCAAGUUAAAAACUCUAAACAAAUUGUAUAUAUAAGUGCUAGUGUUUUUUGGAAAAAAUGCAAAUAAUGACAUCAACUUGACAAAAAUUCAAGAGCCAUGCAAAUAUAGUUUUGACAAAGUUUUCAUAUUGUAUUUUAGCCGGCUGUCAUUAGAGCAUCUACAAAUGGAGCCCCCAUACCACCCUAAACGUCCGGGCGGCCUGCCCGGUCACUGCCAGAACAAGAAAAUGGCACCCAACCGGACCCGGCAAACCCAGCCCAAAUGCUCGGUAUGACUGGCACCCGGGCACAUCCGCCGACAUUUGGGGGGCUCAAAUUGGUGUGUGUGGUUGUAGAUGCUCUUACUCACCGAAUACUCAUCUGGUUGGUAAGGAAGUUCGUCCCAAUGGAGCUUUGCAAGUGCCACAUGAAUGUUCACCAGAUCUCACUUGUUGCACCAUGAAUGUAAUCUACAUGCCAAAUGGAGAUCAAGGAGUCAAAACAAAGUUAUUCACUACACUGACCUUCCUCUGGUCACAAAUAUAAGCAGUUUAUGACAUAUAUAUACAAUUACAAGUAGACAAAAUACAUAUUAUGAAACUACUUUUCAUGAUCGAUGAAUCGGGUAGAAAUUAAACCUUGUACUGCAAAACUAUUGACAGUCAAAGUUGAGAGAUUCGACUUGGGAUAAACCUUAAACUAAUUUAUUUUUGUGAUGAGAGAUGCUUUGAACAUGAUGAAAGUGCUAGCAUCCUAUGUAAGCCCAGAUUAUAGUCCCCGGAGAAAGAAACGUUUUCUUACAAUAGGUCUAUGGGUGCAAGUAACGUUACUACUACAUGCCGGCCAGGAGUAGAAUUGUCCUGGUACACAAGCUUAUUUUAUUUGGUUAAAUAAAACAUAUUAGAAUUUACUUUGGCACACAUCAGGACAAGAAACAAACUGUCAAGCAAUCCAGUCUAUGUCCAGAUAUUAUUCAUCGGUCAUCACUCAAUCUGCGUUUGCAGACUUGAAAGGUACAAUAGUACAAUUUAGAGCCUUGCAUUGGCAAAUCCCACCGUGACAACAAAAAAGUACUUAAACGCUACAAUUAUUAUCACCCUUCAAAAUCGUUUGCAAAAGGAACAAGAUAGAAAAAGAAUAUAAAGCAUAAGCCGUCUCCAUUGAAAAUUGGUCCAUUAAUCAAAAAGGACUUAUUCUUCCUCCUCCCUUUUCCACUGAAAAAUAAAUACACGUAAUCCUUCUGUACAGUAUCAUUUCAUUUUCUAAUGAAAGGAACCAUCCACCACUAUCAAAAUCUAUACGAGAAUUUUAAGAAGAAGAAAAAUGGCCCCGAUGUUUCCUUGGGUUAAGAAAAAAAGAAAACAGAUGGGUUGCAUAUCACACUUUAACAAGCAUCUGACACGUCCAGCAAUAUCCUGCCUCCGUUUGGUAACAGGCUAGGGAGGGCGUAGGGCGUGCAGAUCCGUGACCGCGUACGGACGCAUCGCUCCUGGGGUGGGGAUGGGAUGGGAGGGAUGCAUCGCAUCAACCAGCAGUCCCUGCAGGAUGCAGGAUGAGGGGGAAAUCAAAUACCCAAAGGGGGAAAAGGCAGGGCCAAGAAAUCAGUAAACAAAUGCAUACCGGAUGACGCAGGCAGGCGACAUAAGAUUGGGUCUCCGUACUCUCUCUUAUCGCACAGAGGGGGGCGCAGAGAGAGACCUCCCCUUGCGCCUCUCCGGAGCAAAUCUCCCACUCCAUGACCAGAUUCCUUUCCUACCUGCGCACCCAACGCAGGAGAGGGACGGAGCAGCUGGCGCCGCACGAAAAGUGGAGAGAUCUAUUUCCAGCCGCCGCAGGAGAUAGAUAGAGGAGGGGAUGAGGGGUGCGGCUGGGCUAUUUGUGCAACCCUAGGACGUUAAGUCCCGAUCCUACCCCUACCCCGGAUGAAAUACCUCUCGUGCCCUUGCUGCGCGCGAAUUUCCUUUUAUACCCCAACUUCGGCUCAGUCCCUUUUCGUUUUUUAUUAGGGUACCACCGUACCAGCCAGUGAUUAAGUUUUUUUCUCUAUUUCAUUUAUCAACCAGUGAUUAAUUCUGGGAAAAAGGAGGAGUACUGAUUGUUGUUCUUGGGGAUGAUGGCUACUCGCGUGUUUCUUUUCUUUAUUUAUAGCUGGAAACCUCCCAAAGUUACCACCAAACCAAUACAACCCGGUGGCACUUGGAUUCAAGUUUUACAACUUACUAUGUUACUUCAACGAGUAGCUGUAAGUUCAGGCCACGAAUAUGUUACUUGAACGAGUACUAGACCUAUCAUGGGACCCUACUAUGAAAGCUGUAAGUUCCCAUGACAAAGCACAACUAGAGUAUCAGGUUGUAAACCUAUGAUGCACAGCUACAGAACACUAAGUAGCAUAUAAUAAGGUUCAAAGAACAUACUAAAUUUCUUGACAGCUGUUUGGGUGAUACUUGUCCGUUCAACUCUGAAGACUGGUAAACCCCGAAGGUGGCUGGCCCAUUUCAGAAGAGCAAGUUUAACAGCAGAAGGUAAAUCAUUGAUAGGGAGCUUAGCAAGAUUUGCAAGAUCAUCCGCAAAAAACAUCAGCUCUCUCGGUUUCCAAGUUACCAUCAACCAACUGAACCGCAUUCUCAUCGCCCUUAAUGUUAGAUAAAAGUCACAAUGCUCAUCGCCCCUCUUGAUUGGAUGCUCGCCAGUUAGGACAUCCGCUGUUGUUCUGGAAUCAGUCCAUAGAAGCAACUUACGGAUCUUCAACUGUUCCGCUUUGUACAGAAGGGCAUACGCAGCAUACAUUUCCGCUUCAACCGCUGAAGAGCACACAAGGCCCGAGAAAACCUCUGAAUAAACAAUUUCAUCAUCUUUCCAGAUUAUGUAAGAGAAGCUUGUUGUGUUAGUGACACUAUCAAAUGAAGCGUCACAUUCUCCUUUGAAGAAUUGUUCCCCAGUCCCAUCAUCCGGCUGCCUAACUCCGUAAUAAUACAUCAAGGUCUCGAUGGUGGAAUAUGAUGAGUCCCAAUCCUCGAUGACAUAAACUUUCUUGUCAAGUAGGUGGUUCAGAAAAAGCUCCCAUUCACCAUAAUUGCAGCCAUGCUCAUAACACAUAACGUCGAAGCAACUCAGAUAACAAGGAUUAAUCCCACAAAUUUCAAACGUCUGAAGUUGUAAAAAGACAAUCCAUCGAUCAUUGACAGGACAAGGGCUAAUUAAACACCGUGACACCAGCUGUGGCCUAAAAUAGUUCUUGUACCUGGUCUGAAAAGCACGGACCUUAGUAGUUGUAUGAUUGGUGUCCUCUACAAUCCUCUUGCGCAAAGCUUGAACAUCACCGCGCUGAAAUUUGCUAUCAUCGUCACCUACAACAAAUUGUAAAAGGUAGCCAAAUUUAGGGUUGCACUGAGAAACCAUAAGCUUACUUCUUUACAAUGUGUGUAACAAGUGUAGAAAUGAAACAAAUAAAUAGAUAUGACAACAGAAUUUCUUAGGGAGUUUUCUCAAAAUAGAACUUGUACAUAUAUGGUGAUCGGUAAGUGAUCAUAGCUUGUUCGAAAUUUACAAAACAUUAGCAUAAGGGCUAGAAAAACCAUGUGAAAGAAGAGACUCUGAAUGCGAGAAACGAUGAGAAACUUCUUGCCAUAAUCUUAAUAUACAGAUGAUAACCAAAAAAAAAUAAACAGAGAACACAUCCAUACAAAACAACAAUUGUGUGUUUAAGUAACUGAAAUGAGAGGGGGCACAUAAUACCGUGCCAUGGGAACUUAAAAUGCAUACAUACAGGUUAAAAGUACCAAAAUGCUCAGACAUACAACAGGUUGGCAUCGCUAUAUGCAGAGAAUACAGCUGACAAUUGACAAUCAAAAAUUAUGAAUCAACAGAAUAUCUAUCAGUGUUUCUGCACGUACCAGAAAGCAGGUGUAUUUAACAAAAGUGAUGGCAAGUUACCUGAAUUUGUGACUGACUGGUCUCCAGCCAAGGUACAAAAUCGGUGGUGUUUCAUCUGUGACCCCAGUGUAGCAGAGGAACCUGCAACAAGCAAAGCAAUUAAAAGGGGCAGUGGAUAGCCAUGUCUGCAUUAAGAAAAAACAAUGUUAUAUUUAAUGAGAACAAUUGCAACAGAUCCAAAAAAGAAGAGCCUGCCAGGGUACCAAAUGUAUGUGGUGGCAACAGGAUUGCCACCUGCAAAAAGUUGACCAACUUAAAAAGGGCACAGAUAGACUAACAUUCUACCAUUGAUGACUAACUAUAACUAGUACAGCUAAUGAUAGAAUGUAUCAGUUGGGCAGACUGAGCUUUGUACUAUGCAGAAAACGGGAGGGCUAACAUUCUAUCAUUGAUGAUUACAAAAAUGUACUCCCUCUGUCUGUCAAAAACGUUCUUAUAUUAUGGGGCGGAGGGAGUACAAAAUAGGAGCGUUUCGUUAAUAUACCAGCAUUCUUCAGCAAAGUGAGUGCAGUACUUUUACACCGGCUUGGUAAGCUACGGACCAAAGUGGGCUAGACUGGUGCAACAAAUGUAGUGCCCAAGGAUGGACUUCUCAGCACGGGUAAACUGCUUGGUGAUUUACCUGCAUUUGUCAAGAUGCCUACUAGUUGGGUAGUUGGGAUCACCCAAGUAUGAAAGAUAAGUACUUCAGACCAUAGAUCAUAGAAGCAUAUUAGUUUGUCACUUUACCUUCAGUUGACACAACCGUUGGUAUACCACAACUUGUUGCAGGACUUGCCAAUUCCAAUGUGCCAAUAGCAUUUUGUGUGACUGGUGCUGAAGAGAAACCUGUAACGAGUCAUGAAAUUAAAAGUUGCACCAGAUAGUAGCCAUUUAGAUGCCUUAAAAAGAAGCGACACGGCAUAAUCUGAUCUAAUAUACACAUGAGACAUGUACUGAUCGAACCCCAUAGUUUGCUAAUUUAACUUCUAAGUAUUUGACACACAGCACCCAUGAAUUUUGCAAAGCCAGCAACCCACGAAUUUUGCAAAGCCAAUCUAAACCUUUUCUAGACCAGCUCUACAGAAGGUGAACUUAGGACAAGGCCUUAACAUGAUGCUUUCUCUGUUUUUUCAAAUGAACUGAACUGUAACCAACCACAAAGUGUUGCCAUUUAUACAGAACGCUGGCAAAUAACUGAAUCAGCUAUGUCAAAACCCUUCUCUUGGGAUAUAUGGUGCCAGAUACCUAAUCAACCAUGCCAAAAAGAAAGGAUUCCUUGGAAUGCAUUGGUGCAAGAUACUGAAUCAUGCAAAAAGGCUUUCUUUGGGGAACAUCUGUGCAAGAUCUGGUGAUUUUCACCAACAAAAAACAUGGUUUUGUGUGGCUUGAGACAAAUUACCUCGAAGAAGAGCCAAGUUUCGAGCUGGACCUUGGGUAAGGUUGGGCUCUGGGGGGAUGGAACCACCAUCAGCCUACUCCCUGUGGAGCCUCCCCUGCUGGCUCCCUAACCAGGCGAGAUGCGCCCUUCUUCUCACACCACCCAUCCAAGCUCUGGAUGGCUUCAUGGCCCCUCUCAUGCGGCCUCCUCCCAAUCUGGAAGGAAGCUCUCUGCUGCCGCCGCGUUCCCAACUUUGGCCAGAAACCCUCACCCCGCCGUCGCCUUAGAAAAUCUGACAAGGGUUUCGGGGAGCAAGAGGCUCGAUAUGGUGGUGCGCUCGGCUUUACUGGACUAAAUCAGGCCGUUGGGUUGGAAUUGGGCCGGCCCCAAUCGUUGUUGUUGGGUUUGGUUUUCUUGGCUACAGGUAGCCCAUGGAAUGUUAUCGUGGGCCAAACCAGGGAGUGAGUCGUAAAAAUGGCUAAGUCCGAAAAUUACAACAUGAACAUAGUCGGCAUGAAGUUAAGCUUAUUAUUCAAAUGACUUUGUCGCACAAGAAUCUAAUAAGUAUAAAUCACAUAAUAUCAAUCACAUAUUAUCUGAAUUCAUCCCCUGUUUAGUUUUGAAAUCCCAUUAUCACUGACCAAUUGACGGUGUUUACGUAUCAUCUUCUGAGUAGUAAGGACCGACGCAUCAUUGCAACUUCUUAUAGACUAAAAUUCCACAAUCAUGAUGGAAUAAACGACAUUUCAAUCAUAAGCAUGUAAAAGUUGCAUGACUCCAUCGAAUUCAAGCAAAGCAAAAGAGUAACGGUAAGAACACCUUUGUUCAACUUCCACGUGCACUUCCCCCUUGAAGAUAGUAUCAAAGAUAUGAAAUCUGCAUCAUUGCUCAAGUGAAAUUUGUAAAUAUACUUCAUCACAAAGUAGCAAAGCCAAGUAUGAACUAGUAACGCAUAGGAGCACAUGAACGGAACUAAGAAAAAAAUGGAGGAC
rnacentral:lncRNA from 1 species